rnacentral:lncRNA from 1 species
AUUCCGUUUCCGUUUCGUACCACGGGACCAGCGGUCCGGGGGCAUCGGGAUGGGGGGGUAGCCGCGCGGCAGUUUGUACGGCGAAAAAUGGGCAAGAUCGGGGGCCGCUUAGUAGGCUUUGCCGGUUUCGGCCGUAACUAAUGAUCCGGGCCUCCGAUUCCGUUUCCGUUUGGUCCCACGGGACCAGCGGUCCGGGGGCAUCGGGAUGGGGGGGUAGCCGUGCG